GUGGAUAAUAAGGAAUAAAGAGUGAAUAACAGAAAUAAAGAGUGAAUAAAGACCAAAUAAGGAGUGAAUAAGGAGUGAAUAACAAUAAGGAGUGAAUAAGGAGUGAAUAACAAUAAGGAGUGAAUAAAGAGCAAAUAAGGAUUGAAUAAAGAGUGAAUACGGAGUGAAUAACAAUAAAGAGUGAAUAAGGAGUGAAUAACAAUAAGGAGUGAAUAAGAAGUGAAUAAGGAGUGAAUAACAAUAAAGAGUGAAUAAAGAGCAAAUAAGGAUUGAAUAAAGAGUGAAUACGGAGUGAAUAACAAUAAGGAGUGAAUAAAGAGUGAAUAAGUAGUGAAUAAGGAGUGAAUAACAAUAAGGAGUGAAUAAGGAGUGAAUAAGGAGUGAAUAACAAUAAGGAGUGAAUAAGGAGUGAAUAAGGAGUGAAUAACAAUAAAGAGUGAAUAAGGAGUGAAUAACAAUAAGUAGUGAAUAAAGAGUGAAUAAGAAUACAGAGUGAAUAAGUAGUGAAUAAGAAGUGAAUAACAAUAAAGAGUGAAUGAGUGAAUAAGGAGUGACUAAUGAGUGAAUAACAAUAAGGAGUGAAUAAGGAGUGAAUAACAAUAAAGAGUGAAUAAAGAGGAAAUAAGGAUUGAAUAAAGAGUGAAUACGGAGUGAAUAACAAUAAGGAGUGAAUAAGAGUGAAUAACAAUAAGGAGUGAAUAAAGAGUGAAUAAGUAGUGAAUAAGGAAUGAAUAACAGUAAAGAGUGAAUAAGGAGUGAAUAAGAAUACGGAGUGAAUAAGUACUGAAUAAGGAGUGAAUAACAAUAAAGAGUGAAUAAGGAGUGAAAAAGAGUGAAUAAGGAGUGAAUAUGGAGUGAAUAAAGAGUGAAUA
ensembl:lncRNA